UAGGGAAUCUUCGGCAAUGGGGGCAACCCUGACCGAGCAACGCCGCGUGAGUGAAGAAGGUUUUCGGAUCGUAAAGCUCUGUUGUAAGAGAAGAACGUGUGUGAGAGUGGAAAGUUCACACAGUGACGGUAACUUACCAGAAAGGGACGGCUAACUACGUGCCAGCAGCCGCGGUAAUACGUAGGUCCCGAGCGUUGUCCGGAUUUAUUGGGCGUAAAGCGAGCGCAGGCGGUUUAAUAAGUCUGAAGUUAAAGGCAGUGGCUUAACCAUUGUUCGCUUUGGAAACUGUUAAACUUGAGUGCAGAAGGGAAGAGUGGAAUUCCAUGUGUAGCUGUGAAAUGCGUAGAUAUAUGGAGGAACACCGGUGGCGAAAGCGGCUCUCUGGUCUGUAACUGACGCUGAGGCUCGAAAGCGUGGGGAGCAAACAGG
rnacentral:rRNA from 1 species